rnacentral:rRNA from 1 species
UACGUAGGGGGCAAGCGUUGUCCGGAAUCAUUGGGCGUAAAGAGCGUGUAGGCGGCCCGGUAAGUCCGCUGUGAAAGUCCAGGGCUCAACCCUGGGAUGCCGGUGGAUACUGUCGGGCUCGAGUCCGGAAGAGGAGUGUGGAAUUCCUGGUGUAGCGGUGAAAUGCGCAGAUAUCAGGAGGAACACCAAUGGCGAAGGCAGCACUCUGGGACGUGACUGACGCUGAGACGCGAAAGCCAGGGGAGCAA